rnacentral:lncRNA from 10 species
GGGGAGCUGCAGCAGCAGCAGUGGGCGACGACCAGCAGCAGCAGGAGCAGCACGGUGCCUGGGGACAGGACAGGCGUCCAGUCUCCCCAGGACUUCCUGAACCGUGGCCUCCAGCUCCUCUGUGGACACAGCCAUCUUGGCGUGCACCGUGCCACCUGCCCCGGUCCCCCAGAGGCUGCAUCAGGAUCCUGGGCUCAGCUCAGCGGGGACCACAUCCAGGCUUCCCACAGCCCAGCCACUGCCCGCUCCUGGCCCAGCGCCAGCUUCCCCACCCCCUCCCACUCCACUUCUCCCUCGGCCCCAGGCCCAGCUUCUCUCCUUGCCCAGCCCUGUGGUCCUUACCCUGACAACCUUCUCCCCAGCCACUGUCAUCUCCCCUCUCUCUCCCCCUGGCAGCCCAGCCCCCAGGCCCCCACCUACCUCCUAGAAGCCUCCAAUUCCCCCAACCAGGCAGGUCCUGGGGAGCACAGGCUGCUUCCUGCUUCCGGCUCCACACCACCUGAGGCCUUGGCAACCAGCCCCGCCCUCCCCAGGGCCAGCAGAGGCCGCCCAGCCCAGGGGAGAGGGCCCAGGCCCAGCAGGUGCGCUCCCUGGCUCCCCACUGCUGGAGGCCCAGGGAGGAAGACGCCGGCCUGUGGCUUCUUCACUCCUGAGACUUCUUACCUUUCCUCAGUAUCCCAGAUAUGCAGCUGGGAACACCUGUGUGCUUGGCCACUGCUGACUUCGUGAAUGAAAGAGAGAGAGAUGGGAGAGAAGGUGGGUGGGAGGGAGGGGGAAGGGGGAGAAAACCUACCUGCAUCCCACGACCCUUGAGCAGCUAGGACAGGUGUGCCUGCAUCAUAGAGUUGUCCUUGGAAUCCUCAACGAUUGGUUCCAGCACCUCCGUGGGUACCAAAAUCCACAGAUGCUAUAAACUCCCUG